GGGGAAGUCGCCACUCCCAGAGAAAGAACUAUGAGAAAGACUGCACUGAACAUGGUGCCUGCUCUCUUGUGUGAAGUGGAGACAGAGUGAAGACAGUUCUCACUGACCUGGCAGGAUGAAGAGGACUUCCCAGACAGAGCUAUUACUAGGUCCUAAAGUGACUGCAUGCUUUUCUUCCUUAAAGGGUUCACAAUAUUGUGUGGAUAGCAGACACUGACAAAUAAAUGAAAAAGGAGUUGGGCUGGGAGCACAUUCUGGAAAUCUAGAAGAUAACAUCCUUAUCUGAAACUCACACUGACAUUUGCACGAGAGAGACGCUUUGUGGCAGCUGAUGACAACAU
rnacentral:lncRNA from 1 species